rnacentral:lncRNA from 1 species
AAAAAUUAAAAAUUCAAUAUAUCAAAAAGCAUGAAUUAGAACACGUGAACCCUUCCUUUGUCUCAACCUUCACUUGACUUUUGUCUCCUCAAAGAUUGCGGCGACCCGUGAGAUCUAGACGUUGUGCGCCUGGUGCUUCCAGUGAACAAGCACACCGUUUCCACGAGCACCGAGGUCAUUACCAGAUCCACUUGAUAACGCGGCAAAAGGCAGCGACACAUUUCACAUUUCCACUGUCUCACAACCACAACCACAAUAGCAACAAAAAGAAAAUGUAGACAGAAUAGUGGAAGAGUCGUGCACGGUUUCUCGAUGGCGACCAAAUUUUGUUAUGUGGCAAUAUCGACUUGUCCCCUUCCAAUGUUUCUGCGCUGUAGUGUGUCGAGCUGCGGGCGAUUUUCUCAAACGCUCAAAAUCAAAGCAGAAAGGUCGACGCCGAUGUGGUAAGCCUAUAACUGACGCUGAAGACUCUUAUUCUAAAGAUCUGGCGAACAAUUGAUUCGUAUGAUGAGUAGUGCGGAGCUAAAUCUAGAGAUUAUUGAGACUAUAUGUAAUGUUUUGAACAACUAUUAAUAGAGCCUUCUUGAAUAAUUAUAUGAUUCUUUUUCAUUACGUAAUAUUGGAUUUUUCAUAUGCUUUCUGAGUUGAUUCUCAUUAACAGAAUGUCUGUUGGGGUUAAACAAUGAUUUGAAGCAAA